GAUGAACGCUGGCGGCGUGCCUAAUACAUGCAAGUCGAGCGAACAGACGAGGAGCUUGCUCCUUUGACGUUAGCGGCGGACGGGUGAGUAACACGUAGGUAACCUACCUAUAAGACUGGGAUAACUUCGGGAAACCGGAGCUAAUACCGGAUAAUAUUUCGAACCGCAUGGUUCGAUAGUGAAAGAUGGCUUUGCUAUCACUUAUAGAUGGACCUCCGCUGUAUUAGCUAGUUGGUAAGGUAACGGCUUACCAAGGGAACGAUACGUAGCCGACCUGAGAGGGUGAUCGGCCACACUAGAACUGAGACACGGUCCAGACUCCUACGGGAGGCAGCAGUAGGGAAUCUUCCGCAAUGGGCGAAAGCCUGACGGAGCAACGCCGCGUGAGUGAUGAAGGUCUUCGGAUCGUAAAACUCUGUUAUUAGGGAAGAACAAACGUGUAAGUAACUGUGCACGUCUUGACGGUAACUAAUCAGAAAGCCACGGCUAACUACGUG
rnacentral:rRNA from 1 species